rnacentral:lncRNA from 1 species
UCUAUAUUAUGUGAGGCAGCUUGACAUGUAUGAAAUAAAUUUUCUCCUUCUUUAUUUUUUGUUGAAAAAUUUGCUUGAUUUUUAUUUCUACAAUCCUCUUCCACGUGAUCAAUUUUUUUGCAAUUAUAAUAUUGAGGCUUUCCAUUAAACCAAUAUUCAGAUGUUGAAUGAUUUUUUUUUUUGCAAAUAAUACAAGGGGC